UUGAUCCUGGCUCAGGAUGAACGCUAGCGGCAGGCUUAACACAUGCAAGUCGAGGGGUAGAGUUCUUCGGAACUAGAGACCGGCGCACGGGUGCGUAACGCGUAUGCAAUCUACCUUUCACAGAGGGAUAGCCCAGAGAAAUUUGGAUUAAUACCUCAUAGUAUAGUCAUACCGCAUGGUACUACUAUUAAAGUCACAACGGUGAAAGAUGAGCAUGCGUCCCAUUAGCUAGUUGGUAAGGUAACGGCUUACCAAGGCUACGAUGGGUAGGGGUCCUGAGAGGGAGAUCCCCCACACUGGUACUGAGACACGGACCAGACUCCUACGGGAGGCAGCAGUGAGGAAUAUUGGACAAUGGGCGCAAGCCUGAUCCAGCCAUGCCGCGUGCAGGAUGACGGUCCUAUGGAUUGUAAACUGCUUUUGCACAGGAAGAAACAACUCUACGUGUAGAGUCUUGACGGUACUGUGAGAAUAA
rnacentral:rRNA from 1 species